UCCCGUAUCCGCCAGCAACCGCCGCCCCGUAGCAGUUCCGCCAUCGCCGGUUCGGCCACGGUGGUAAUUCCUCUGUUCGCCCCUGUUUCUCGGCCAGGGAGUUUGAAGUGCUUGAAGAUUAUUCGUUCAUUGGUCGUCAUCUCUGAUCCUCAGCCUCGUCGUCAUGGAUGAUGUCUCCCUUUGAUCCGAUCGCUCUUUGCGGUGGACGUCAGCAAUUUCAAGGAAUCCACAACCUGCUCUGCUUUCUUGGAUCCAUCAGCCUUGUAUCUUCACAGAUGAUUUUCCUCCCGAGAUCUCUCAAUUGGUCGUGCAUCCAGAAUUUGUUGUCAUCAGUUAUCUUUAUCAAGGACAUGCAGACAAGGACUUGAGUUGAAUAAUCUGUACACCUAUCCAUAAGCCUUUGUUUUGGCGGCAAAGUAAUGAGCCUAUGACUUCAAGAGCCAAGGGAAGUCCUCCAGUAGUAGAAACUACUUGUUUUGAAAGACUGACAUAAUCAUUUGGAGGAGAAUUUCUUCCAAAUGCAUAUCUACUAAAAAGCUUGAGCGAUUGAACAAAAUCCAAUGGCUUCACUUCGUACUCUAAGGUUCGAUUAGCUUCUAUGAUGCUUCUGUUCCUUGUCGUCAUAAUAACUCUGCUUCGGAGCCGAAGGAAAUGUGCCUGAUGGCUAGUUUCUCGAUU